rnacentral:lncRNA from 1 species
GGGGGACUUCACACGGAGGAAUGAGGGGUGGGAUGCAGUGACAUCACAAGGGUCCCAUUAUGACCCCUCCUCCAUCAGCUAAGGGGGGAUGGGCUGAGCCUGAACAGAGGGAGAGGGGAGUAAAUAAGGGGCUGUUGCCAGAGCCUGAGCCCACCAGAGAAAGUCUGUGUGCAGAGGGAGGGCCUCAGGUCCUGCUGCUCCUUCAUCUUGACCCCUUCACACCCUCCUCUAACAGGGACCUCGACCUCCCUUCUCCACUCUCCUGGAUCCUGCUCAGUGUGGUGCAGGCCUUCUCUGGGGCCCUGGAGUUCCCACUGACCUUCAGCCCCGCCAGUUGCAUCUGCUGUUCCCACUGAAGACUCUCAUGCUAGUCAGUUCCUGCCUGGGGUCACCAGACUGCUUCGAAGUCAGGAAGAACAUGGUGGGGACGGUGACUUGAGUUUCCUGGACCACAGUGCAG